ACUGAAUAAUUCAAAGUGGGGCUGAAGGUCAUUUCGCGGUUAACGGUGCCGUUAGGGUAAACAAGUUUUACAGCCGAGGAGGUAUCAGCAACCACAACAUUAUCCCAUCCUUCCCCCUCCAAACCCCCAACAUUAUCCCAUCAUUUUCCGCUCUUUAACCAAAAUCCAAUCUUUGAACACAAACCAAUUCGUGGGUUUUCCGGGAAAGCAAUUGGGUUUUUGUUUGAAAGGAAGUUAAGGGUUUUGUGAAUGCAAAAGAGGAUGGCGUUGAUGAAGCUGAGGAGCAAAGUAGGUGGGAGAGAACUAUGCCGGAGCGGUUUAGGUACUUGACCUAAGAAGCUCCUGACCCUCCUCUGAGGUGGCCUUGGUUUCUGGGUAAAAUGCUUCACUGUCUUUGUCUAUUUUGAAGAAUUUGCAGGUCCGCUGAGCACAACAGCUUUCCCCCCAGCCGGGUUCAACUCAUCCGAUGCUUCGAUCUAUGUAACCAUGAAGCAAGGGGUUAUGAGGAACUAAGGAGGGCUGCAGGAAGCAGCAGGUCAUUAAAAGGGAAAUGUCUGGGCAGAAAUGGUACAUGAUAAUCUAGCACACCCAUUUCGAUUAGCUUCUCGCUUCUCAAUUUGAGAGAGAAAAACUGUGGGGUGGAGAGAGAGCAAUGAUAUAUGUUGUGUGUGACUUUGGUCCAGCUCCAUGCUUAUUUUCUCAUUAAUAUUCUAUUAACAUUCAAUGGUCAAGAGCUACGUUAUGAGAAGACUACUGUUUUUCAAACCAUUUGAAUAUUUGAUGGAUUUGAGAGAUUUCUACUAUACUUCUGAUCCAUAAAUAAGGGCAUUAUUAGUAUACAAAUUAAUCAAGAAGACUAGUGUAAGAGGUAUUUGGUUGUAUAUCACCGUCAACAUAUGUCGCCUAAUGAGAGAUAGAUAGGACCCUCUUUGAUUGUUGGUUAAUAGGCAACUUUAGGUAACACUGAUUGACAAUUUAAACAAGUAUUUCUCAUUUGCAGCUGAGGAGUUACAUAAUAGCGAGAUAGCAUGGGUUGAACGAAUACUAUAUUGGGGAAGAUGCAGCUGAGGAGUUACAUACUUUUUCAAAUUGAUGUAGAUGGUAUGUUACAUAUCUCAUGUCACAUUAGCCAUAUGUUCUUUGCUUGUAGCUUUGCACUGAAGUUCCUGGGCUGGAGUUCAACAUAAUAUUAGUUUCUAAUGACCCAUAUUGUGCUUGGAUUGAAGGUUCUUUGUAUAAAUGGAAUACUUGUGUACUAUUUUCUCAUAUAUAGGUAUCGUGUUGUAUCCAUUUGCCUUUUCGGCUGUAUAUAACAGGUAGAAUCUGAUUCAGAA